UGGGGAAUAUUGCACAAUGGGCGCAAGCCUGAUGCAGCAAUGCCGCGUGAGUGAAGACGGCCUUAGGGUUGUAAAACUCUUUCGCUAGGGAAGAUAAUGACGGUACCUAGUAAAGAAGUCCCGGCUAACUCCGUGCCAGCAGCCGCGGUAAUACGGAGGGGACUAGCGUUGUUCGGAAUUACUGGGCGUAAAGAGUUCGUAGGCGGACUAGCAAGUUAGAGGUGAAAUCCCAGGGCUCAACCUUGGAACUGCCUUUAAAACUGCUAGUCUAGAGACCGGAAGAGGUUAGGGGAAUACCUAGUGUAGAGGUGAAAUUCGUAGAUAUUAGGUGGAACACCAGUGGCGAAGGCGCCUAACUGGUCCGGUACUGACGCUGAGGAACGAAAGCGUGGGGAGCAAACAGGAUUAGAUACCCUGGUAGUCCACGCCGUAAACGAUGAGUGCUAGAUGUUGGGAUUUUCGGAUUUCAGUGUCGCAGCUAACGCAUUAAGCACUCCGCCU
rnacentral:rRNA from 1 species